rnacentral:rRNA from 1 species
AGAGUUUGAUCAUGGCUCAGGACGAACGCUGGCGGCGUGCUUAACACAUGCAAGUCGAGCGAGAAACCCUCUUCGGAGGGGAGUACAGCGGCGAACGGGUGAGUAACACGUGGGCAACCUGCCCCAAGGAGCGGGACAACCCGGGGAAACCCGGGCUAAUACCGCAUGAUCCGCGAUGCCUCAAGGCAUCUCGGGAAAUGGUAGCUUCGGCCUCCGCCUUGGGAUGGGCCCGCGGCGCAUUAGCUUGUUGGUGAGGUAACGGCCCACCAAGGCGACGAUGCGUAGCUGGUCUGAGAGGACGAUCAGCCACACUGGGACUGAGACACGGCCCAGACUCCUACGGGAGGCAGCAGUGGGGAAUCUUGCGCAAUGGGCGGAAGCCUGACGCAGCAACGCCGCGUGAGGGAAGACGGCCUUCGGGUUGUAAACCUCUUUCAGGGGGGACGAAGCCUCCGGGGUUAAUAGCCUACGGGGUGACGGUACCCCCAGAAGAAGCCCCGGCUACUACGUGCCAGCAGCCGCGGUA